CAGAGGACAAAAGGGCCAGGAAAGUGCAUGGUGCAUAUGUUUGGAGCCUGCUUGUGGGAUUGCGUGUGUGUAGAGUGUGGUGUGAUAUUGUAUAAAUAGGUCAAUUUAAUUUGUGUUUGUGGUGUAAUAUGUGUGGCUAGGGACUGUAGAGAGUGUGUGUAUAGGGGGCAUAGUUUUAUAGGGGAUGCAGCGAGUGUGUUCAUACGGGCUGAAGUGUGUGUGUAUAGGUGACGUAGUGUGUGUAGGGGUUGCAGAGAGGGUGUGUUUAGAGAAUGUUGUAUGUGUUUGCUGACAAGGAGUGCAUACAGGGUAAGGG